GGCAGCGCGGGAGCAAUCCUGGCGGCGAGUGGCGAACGGGUGAGUAAUACAUCGGAACGUGCCCAAUCGUGGGGGAUAACGCAGCGAAAGCUGUGCUAAUACCGCAUACGAUCUACGGAUGAAAGCAGGGGAUCGCAAGACCUUGCGCGAAUGGAGCGGCCGAUGGCAGAUUAGGUAGUUGGUGAGGUAAAGGCUCACCAAGCCUUCGAUCUGUAGCUGGUCUGAGAGGACGACCAGCCACACUGGGACUGAGACACGGCCCAGACUCCUACGGGAGGCAGCAGUGGGGAAUUUUGGACAAUGGGCGAAAGCCUGAUCCAGCCAUGCCGCGUGCAGGAUGAAGGCCUUCGGGUUGUAAACUGCUUUUGUACGGAACGAAACGGCCUUUUCUAAUAAAGAGGGCUAAUGACGGUACCGUAAGAAUAAGCACCGGCUAACUACGUGCCAGCAGCCGCGGUAAUACGUAGGGUGCAAGCGUUAAUCGGAAUUACUGGGCGUAAAGCGUGCGCAGGCGGUAAUGUAAGACAGUUGUGAAAUCCCCGGGCUCAACCUGGGAACUGCAUCUGUGACUGCAUUGCUGGAGUACGGCAGAGGGGGAUGGAAUUCCGCGUGUAGCAGUGAAAUGCGUA
rnacentral:rRNA from 1 species